GGAAAAGAAACUAACAAGGAUUCCCCUAGUAACGGCGAGUGAAGCGGGAAGAGCUCAAAUUUGAAAGCUGUUGCCUUUGGUAACCGCAUUGUAAUCUCGAGAUCUGUUUUCCGCGCUGGACCAUGUACAAGUCCCUUGGAAUAGGGCGUCAUAGAGGGUGAGAAUCCCGUACUUGACAUGGCCUCCCAGUGCUUUGUGAUACAGGCUCAACGAGUCGAGUUGUUUGGGAAUGCAGCUCAAAAUGGGUGGUAAAUUCCAUCUAAAGCUAAAUAUUGGGGAGAGACCGAUAGCGAACAAGUACCGUGAGGGAAAGAUGAAAAGCACUUUGGAAAGAGAGUUAAACAGUACGUGAAAUUGUCAAAAGGGAACCGUUUGAAGUUAGUCAUGCUUGCCUGGACUCAGCCUUGYUUUUGCUUGGUGCAUUUCCAGGU
rnacentral:rRNA from 1 species